ACCCCAUACUGGCUUACACCGCAGCAGGGGAGAUAAACCAAAUCCAGUGGUCAUCCACUCAACCCGACUGGAUCGCCAUUUGUUACAACAACUGUCUCGAAAUCUUACGUGUCUAGACAAAGUUCACCCCUCACCCUCACCCAUGCUAUUUAUUGGAUAGAGAUCAUGUUAAAUACUUUAUUUAAUUUUCUCAGCAUCAAAAGAUGGUGAAUUAAAAUUAAAGAUGAUGUUUUGCAUUAGACAUUAGAAAGAUG
rnacentral:misc_RNA from 1 species